UGCUGUGUUCCACCAGCAAUUAGAUGUUAGAAGUUAUUUUCAGAUUUAUAUUCAGGAGGAAAAGGUAGGAAAAAAACUAAUGGUUUGGAUAUGAAGAAUGUAUCAUUCAACAGAGAUUAAUGGCAAGUCAAGUAUCCUUUCAGCAACUUAACUCAGCAAAAUUCAAUUUAGUGGAGAAUGUCCUAGCAUUCCAUUAAUAUGAGAUGCCCUUUGAAAACAUCCCAAUGCAGCUUUCCUGAAAAAGUUGAAUGCUGACACGAUAGUUCCAAGACACUAAACAAUUUUCCUAUGUUUCAUGCAAGAGGCUAAGUAUCAGUAAGAGUCUAAACAGGAGGCAGUGGCAACCUAAAUCCAAAGGACAAACAGUAUUGCAACCAGAUCCAAUCAUUUUGUCAGUCAAUAUCCAAAUACAGUCAGUGUUCAGACAAGGGUUCAUAGGUACUCACUACUGGGAACUGAUUUAUCUCAUAACUUGAAGUACUGAGACUCAUGAUCUUUUUAAGAUGUGUUAGAAAAUGAAUCAUCUGCAGUCCCAUCCUAAUACUGCAGUAGCAAUCGGGCAUCUUUGUGAUCCCAAUCUAACUUAAUUUCAAAAUUUCUAAACCUUUGUAGAUCCAAAUCAACAUAUUUUAUCCAAACAACACUUAAAACUUUAAAAGUACCGGAACUUAAUCUGAUUCGAGAAGGAAUUCCUAAUUCCGUUAGGAGCAGCCAUGGUGGGAGCUCCACAAAGGAGGAUUUUUUUAGGGAUGCCUUGUAGACCCUGGAUAAGUCUGUAUCUUGCACCGUUUCAAGCACCAUCAGACAAAAAGUCUUCCAGUAUUGUUCCAAUGUUAAUAUUGCCAACUGUCAAAAUCAACCACCCAUAAUGGAUUGGUGAGGAACACUCCAGACUUUUUCUCUUCUGUCCUUGGGAGAGAUUAUGCACAAGUCAGAUCAUUCCAUCUAAGAUCAUUGAGCAAAACAUAAAUCCAUAUGCUAGAAAAGAAAGGAUGCUCUAAUACAUGAAUUACCUGGCUCAGAUAGAACCAUAGAACUGUACAGCUCAGAAACGGGCCUUUUGCCCCUUCUUGGCUGUGCCAAACCAUUUUUCUGCCUUGUCCCACUGUCCUGCACCUGGCCCAUAUCCCUCCAUACACCUCUCAUCCAUGUACCUGUCCAAGUUUUUCUUAAAUGUUAAAAGUAGCCUCCAUUUACCACUUCAUCUGGCAGCUCAUUCCACACUCCCACCACUCUCUGUGUGAAGAAGCACCCCCCCCAAUGUUCCCUUUAAACUUUUCCCCUUUCAUCUUUAACCCAUGUCUUCUGGUUUUUUUCUCCCCUAGCCUCAGUGGAAAAAGCCUCUAUCUAUUCAGUCUAUCUGUACCCAUCAUAAUUUUAUACACCUCUAUCAAGUCUCCCCUCAUUCUUCUACACUCCAGGGAAUAAAGUCCUAACCUAUUCAACCUUCCUCUGUAACUCAGUUUCUCAAGUCCUGGCAACAUCCUUGUAAACCUUCUCUGCACUCUUUCAACUGUAUUAAUAUCCUUCCUGUGAUUCGGUGAUCAUUCAGUAUUAUAAGUAUUCUUAGAGCAGAAAAAGUUAGGAGGAGAUUGGCAGAGAUGUUCAAAAUUAUGAAUUUUGUUCAAGUAACACAGAGAAGUUAUUUUCAUUGGCAGAAGGAUGAAUAAUUAGAUGACAAAGACUUAAGGUAAUUAGCAAAAGAACCACAACGUAAGAGAAAGAUAAUUGUUUGCUUUGCAUUAUAACGUGAACUGCAAUGCCUGUAAGAUUGACAGAAGCAGAUUCAUUAGUAAAUUACAAAAUAGAAAACAGGCAAAUACCUCCUCACUGGUUUUGUGAACUUUGUCUUCCUGUAGCAGUGUUGAUAACAUUGUUAACAAGUAGCAGCAACUCCAUCUUGGUACGUUGUAUAGAAACAUAGAUCUAGUAUAUUAAUAAGCCCUUUGGUCCAGCAAGCCUAUGAUGACCUUAACCACCAAUCUUACAUGAAUCGCAUUUCUUAAUUCUCCCCUUUGUCUCAUCAACCUUCUCCCUACCCCUGCCACCCCCAGUUUCUAUCAUACACCUAACACAUCAGGGAAAAUUCACAGUGGCCAAUCAGCUUGCACUUCUCUGGGAUGUGGAAGGAUACCAAAAUACCCAGAGGAAUUCCAUUUCAUCACAGGGAGAGCAUGCAGUCCCCACCCAAUCAGCACCAAAGGUCAGAAUUAAACCUGCAUUGCUGUAGCCGCACGACAGCAGUUUUGCUAGUUACACCAUUAUACUGUCACACGUUAUGUUUAACCUUUGAGUGAAGUGAUCCAUUAUUGUAUUUCCAUAUUUUCAUACCACAGAAUUACAUUUCAAUUUAGCAAGCACGCUGGAACAGACAUUCACAAACAGUUGUACAGCUGGACUUCUUAAUAUGUGUAGUUUUCUUACCAAUGAGGCAGCUCAUCCCUGAACUUAACCGCAUCCCUUGGGUUAGCCGCUGACCCUUAGGCAGCAGGAUAAUAGGAUACCUUGUUUCUUUUCAUUCCAUAAUACUGAUGAUUCUCUAAUCUGACCAACAUUGUGGAGGAGCAGCUAAGUGAUAAGUUUCAGAAAUAGGAAAAAAAACUAAAGCACGAAAUGCAAGUUAGUCCUGGAUUCCGAUGCACAUUUGCUUUGUUAGCCAAUCAUUGCAAUUUUCUGUCCAUAUAUACUAUACUUCCAUAAAUGGACUAAUGAAGAGAUGGGCAGAGGGGAAGAAUGAGUUAGAUCUGUGUUCAGUUGUACCCUCAUCAUUAUUAAGUGAAGAAGAGCGACUAUUAAUGUCUUCUCUCCUCCCUCCAAAACGUGCAGCCACUCCCUGCUAAUUGAUAAUAAUAACCUAGUGAGAUGUUCCUGCUAUGACAGGUGGUAUCCAUCUCCGUCAGCUGGGGUAUUAUGAACCGUAUUCCAGGAACUCUAGCAGUGUUUUGAGAAACUGUAACCUGUCGAUGAACAGCAUCAUGUGGAUGGCUCUACAUUAUCCUAAGGUUUCUGGGGAGAGACAGGAGGAGGGAACGGGGGAAGUGGCUUCAACUAGGAUGAAGCAGUCAGGGUGACUUGGAUGCUGUGACCAAGGUUAAGGGUGGAAAGAUGAUUAGUAUUUGGCCAAUGGCUCUAAAGCGAGCAAACAGCAGUGGUUCAUUAGAAAGCCUUCAUUAUGACUGUAAGUGUCAGAUGUGGCUCAUUUGAUAAGACCUAUGUUCCAGAGUCAUUGAGAAAGGUCAAAGGAGUCCUGGUUAAUGUCAAUAUCUGGAAUAUCAAAAUCCAGAGGGCAUAGGUUUAAGAUGAGCGGAAGGGAUUUUACAUGAUAUUGGAUGGGUAAAUUGUUUUUUUACACAGAGGGUGGUUACAUAUCUGAAACACACUGCUGGUGGAAUCAGAUAUAAUGACAAUGUUCUCGAGAGAGUUAGUUGGCAGAUGUGAAUGUUGUCACUAUAAUUAAGAAAAAGGUGCUUGGGAACCUGAAAGGUCAUAAGAUGAAUAAGCCACCUGAACUGGAUUUACUCCGGGGUUCUGAAAGAGGGAGCUGAAGAGAUUGUGGAGGCAUUAGCAGUAAUCUUACAAGACUGUUACAGUCAGAAGACUGGAAAAUCGUGAAUGUUAGUCCUCUCUUUAAGGAGGGAGGGAAGCAGAAGACAGGAAAUUAUAGGCCAGUCAGCCUGACUUCUGUGGUUGGUAAUGUUAUGGAGUCCAUUAAUGUUUCAGACUUUCUGGAAGCACAUGAUAAAAUAGACCAAAUUCAGCAUGGUUUCCUGAAAGGGAGAUUUUGUCUGACAAAUCUUUUGGAAUUCUUUGAGAAAGUACAAGAAAAUAGCCAAAGGAUACUUUUAGAAGGCUGUUGGCAAGGUGCUACACAUGAGACUGCUAAAUAAUUUUGGAGUCCAUGGUAUUUCAGGAUAGCUAGUAGCACAUAUAAAAGAUUAGCUGACUGGCAGAAGUCUAAACAAGGGGGAUUUUUUUUGUUGACUGCUGAUGACUAGUGGUUUUCCUCAGGGUAGGUGUUGGGUCCACUGCUUUUCACGUUAUAUGUUAAUAAUCUGGGUAACAGAAUUGAUGGUGUUGUGGCUGUGUUUGCAAGUGAUACAAAGGUAGGUGAAGGGGCAGGUAGUGUUGAGGAAACAAAGAGCCUGUGAAAGGGCUUCAGAUUGAGAGUCUGGGCUAAGAAGUGUCAGGUAGGGAAGUAUAACACUUCGAUAGAAGGAAUCAAAUUCACAGUGCAAAAUAAAUUUGUUAUCAAGGUAUGUUCACUACCCUGAGAUUCAUUUUCUCACAGACCUUCACUGUAAAUAGCAAGAAACACAAUAGAAUCAAUGAAACACCACACAUGACAAAUACCUGUUCCUGAACUUGGUGGUGUGGAACUUGAGGCCCUUGUGCAUACAAUCCUACAAAAAGUAGGACCCAGCCCAGUCCGUCAUGGGUGAGGCCCUCCCCGCCAUUGAGCACAUCUACAUGGAGUGUUGUUGCAGGAAACAUCAUCAAGGACACUACCAUAAAGGCCAAGCUCUCUUUUCCUUGGGGAUUGGUGUUUCCAUACCAGGCCUUGAUGCGACCAGUCAGUAUACCCUCCACCACACACCUGUAGAGGUUUGUCAAAGUUUUAGAUAACAUGCCAAAAAUGUGCAAAUGUCUAAGAAAUUAGAGGUGCUGCCAUGUCUUCUUUGUGAUGGCAGUUACAUGCAGGAUGCAGGACAGAUCCUCUGAAAUGGUAAUGCUGAUGAAUUUAAAGUUGCUGGCCCUCUCUACCUCUGAUCCACUGAAGAGGACUGGCUCAUGGAUCUCUGGUUUCCUCCUUCAAUAAUCAGCACUUUGGUUUUGCUAACAUUGAGUGAGGGAAGAAGCAUAGGCUAUUUUAUAAAUGAGAAGCAUAUUCAGAAAUUGAAGGUAAAAAGAGACUUGGGAGUCCUUAUACAGGAUUUCCUAAAAGUUACCUUGUAGGUUGAGGUGAGUCAGUAGUAAGGAAGGCAAAUUCAGUGUUACCAUUAAUUUCGAGGGAACUAGAAUAUAAAAGCAAGGAUGCAGUGCUGAGGCUUUAUAAGACAUUGGUCAGACCACUUUUGGAGUAUUGUCAGCAUUUUGAGCCCAUAUCUGAGGAAGAAUGAUCCUAGCGAUGAGCAGUGUUUGAUGGCUCUGAUCCUGCACUUGCUGGAGUUCAGUCGAAUAAGGAGGAUCUGAAUGAAACAUGAAAUAUUGAAAGGUCUAGAUAAAGUGGACAUGGAGAUGAUGGUUCCAGUAGUGGGAGAGUCUACAACUGGAGGGCACUGUCUCUGAAUAGAAGGACGGCCCCUUUAGACCAGUGAUGAGGACGAAUAUCUUUAGCCAGAGUGGGUUGAAUCUAUAGAAUUUAUUGUCAUAGGUGGCUAAAGGAUCAUGUUCUUAACAUUAACUCAUGUUGAAUUCACAUUCAGUUUGAUGACACACUUGGAUAAGUUUUGAUCAAUGAUUGCUAGCCCUAUAAAUAAAUCAGUAUACACAACUCUUUGUACCUAAGUAUGGUCCACUGGCCAAAUAGGUGUUGGAUUUGCCAAGUGGUUGCCAAAGGUAACUGGGUGGUCGGUAGGGAAUUAUCAGUGCUCAGUGCAUUUUCAUGUUACUUCAGUUGAUUGCCCUUGGACUGGUUACUGCUAGUGAGUACUUGAGCUACUGUUCACCACUGAAGGACAGGAUUAUUACUUACAGAAGGAUCUGUUCAUCAUCCUUCAGUUUUCACCUGGAUUGACCCAUGCAAUGUCACCACAAAAGUGGACCAAGUUAACAGGGCAUGUUCCAAACUCUGUGAUACCUGCCAUUUUUCGAAAAUCUCAUUUUCUGGUCUUAACUUUUAUUCUUGAAAAUGGAGCAGUGAAGCAUUAGCAUCACAGCAGGUUCUUUUGGUGCUCAUGAGUAAAGUGGCACAGUUCAACAUUUCCAGGUUUCUAUCUCAAGAUGAUUAUUUUCUUUGUUUUGUUUUAAUAGAGAUGAAGAUGAAUGAUCCAUCUCUGCUAUUUGAUUGCAGAGUGUUGCUUAUUUAAUUGUGUUGCCUCUUAUCUCUUGAGUGAAAUCAUCAAACAAGAGAAAAAAGAACAUGCAUCUCCUCACUGUCGGCAAGACUUAAUUCACCCUGUGCUGUCUUCUCCAACAAGUAAACCAGUCGAUUCGUGAGGCUAAUUUGAAUGCGCCAAAUACAUGAGAAUGUACCAAAGAAUAUCCUUCACUCAACUUUACUCCACUCACACCUUCCCCAGAAGAUAUCCUAAACCGUUCAACAAUGAACAGUUGGAUCUGCCUACCCAGGGAGUCACUGCUUUUGGACAUUCUUGCUUUGUCAUUUCAAGCAACCAAGUUGAAGUUCUGACCUUAUAAAUCAAAUCAGAUGUUGAAGGAAGAGGAAGAGAUCCAAUAUAACUGUUUUCUUAUUUUUAUUUGGGAAAUCUGCAGGUCUCCCACUGAACUAAAGGAGGACUUCCACGGAUAUCAGGGCAAAACCCCUUAAUGAGAAGAGUAAAGUGUACAACAGUAGACGUGCGGUAUGCUAUGCCAAUUGCAUUGCCCCGACAUGCACAGCUAUUGCGCUCCUUGAUGGACAACUGUGGCGAAGAUGCAGAUUCAUCCUCAAACAAAUCAUGCAAACAAAGGAAAGCAUCUAUCCUGACUCCAGCAUGUAAGUGCCAUUAUGAAGAAAACACAGCAGCACCUCUUCUUUCUUAGAAGUUUACGAAGAUUUGGAAUAUCAUCUAAAACUUUGACAAACUUCUAAGGAUGUGGAGAGCACAUUGACUGGUUUCAUCAUGGUCUGAUAUGGAAACACCAAUGCACUUGUAUGGAAAAGCUGACCAAAUGUAGUGGAGAUGGCCCUCCCCAGCAGGUCUACAUGGAGCACUUUUGCAGAUAUUCAAGAAACAAAACCCUGCAAACAGGAGAGAGAGAAGAUGAUUCAGCAAAAGAUGAUUAUGCUGAAACAACUUUAAAUGAUCUCAGACUUGGCCAUCAGCCCAGAGACUGAUACAUGUGAUUGUAUCUGCAUAUCUGCAUAUGAUGGGAUACCAGACACUUACCAGAGACAGCAGGAAGGAAGUGAGAAACAGGUUAUUUACCUGGCACCAGGCUUCGGGUUCUUCCACUUCUUCUCUGCUGUUGAUGAUGAGCCUCACCACCGCCGUGUCAUUGGUGAACUCGACAGUGCAGUUUCUUGGGUGUUUGGCUGUACAGCCGUAUAUGAACACGCUGCGGGCACCCAUGUUGAGGUUUAUGGGGAGGAAGAAGUGGUUGUGCAUCCUGGCUCUCUGAGGUCUGUUGGUUAGGAAGUCCAACACCCAGUAAUGAAUUAAUUAGUACAACACCGCUCACCAAGAUUCAAGAAAGCACUGGGAAAAUGUGGACAAUUCCCACAAACUGGGAGUUACCUCUCAAUGACAGCAGAUGUGAGUGAUAAAAUCUGUCAUCAUCUUCAGUGCACCAACACAGUCUGAGAAAAAUCAGAUGUUGCACAAUCCUGGCACACUCUCUUGGGAAGAGAUCACUAGUUGACAGUUUGAAUGAUUCAAGGAUUUUCUCUAAAAAUACAACAUGACCAUUGACUUUUGAGAAUCCCUGGCCCAUGACUGAUCAAGAUAGAGAAAGGACUUUUGAAGUGACGUUGAGAAAUUGAAAUCCAUUUAUCAAAAGUGCAUAGAACCCACGUUAGAGGGAACAUAGAAGGAGUGCAUCUCUUCUAAAACUACUCAGGCACUAUCUGACAUCUUGUGCCAAACCAGUAUAGUCUGCAGUUCCCAGGUUAGUCUCAACAAUCACUUCAGAGCCCAGAGAACUGGAAAAGUUAUUUGUGUCCUGUUUUGAGAAUGUGUUGACAACAGUUGGAAAUUUCAGACACUUCCUCCCUUUGAAAAAACAGUGGCACCUCAAGCAUGGGUAUUUCACUCAAACUGAGAUAAGAGAUCUGCUUCAUAGUGACCAUCGCUGAAUAUGAUCGCCUGAGAACCUCCCUCUUCCCUCUUCCAAAAUUUACCAUAUGCCCAGUCAUGUUAAAUUAGUGGAAGACCAAACGGACUGAUCAUAUUGGGAAGCAAUUUUAUGACAAGCCUUUGAACCAAAAUAUGUAGCACCUUGGUAUCAGUCAAAUUACCCAUAAUUGACAACAUAGUCUGUAUCCAAUUAUAAGGUUCCAAAUGUUCACAUGAUUGCCUCAGUAGUUAGCAUAAGUAAUCCAACAACUAAUAUGUUUAUUAUCACAGGAAGCAGGACUGGCAGGAACUUUAAUUUACUAAGUUAAAGAUCAGACCUCUUGUACGAUAAAGAUAGACUAUUGGCCUCAGUCUACCUCAAUGAUCUUGCACUUUAUCACUUAACUGCACUGUAUGUUUCUAGUAACUUUUAUACUUUAUUCUGCAUUGUUAUCCCAGUUCAGUGCACUGUAAUGGUUUGUCUUUAUAAACAAUAUGCAAAACAAGUUGGUACAUGUGACAAUAACAAGCUAAUAGUCCACGUUAGAUAAGGCAUAGGCUGAUACAAGGUAUCUGGAAAUAGCAGCUUUUAAUUGGAUCAGAAUUUCAUAUCUAGCCUACCUGCUGGUGGAGGUUAGUAGAUGCAAAUACAAAACCAACAAAGUCCCAUUACAAGUGAACCCCAGUUGCAUAUUGUAGGAAGCAUUGUAAUGACUAAAAUGCAAAUACUUCAAUGUUUGAUUGUUGCUUAUAAUAAUUAAACUCAAACUUUUGAUGUUAUCCUUCUCAAGUACAAA